rnacentral:rRNA from 1 species
AUUGAACGCUGGCGGCAGGCCUAACACAUGCAAGUCGAACGAGUGGCGGACGGGUGAGUAAUGUCUGGGAAACUGCCUGAUGGAGGGGGUUAACUACUGGAAACGGUAGCUACUACCGCACACCAUCGGAUGUGCCCAGAUGGGAUUAGCUAGUAGGUGGGGUAACGGCUCACCUAGGCGACGAUCCCUAGCCGGUCUGAGAGGAUGAACAGCCACACUGGAACUGAGACACGGUCCAGACUCCUACGAGAGGCAGCAGUGGGGAAUAGUGGACAAUGGGCGCAAGCCUGAUGCAGCCAUGCCGCGUGUGUGAAGAAGGCCUUCGGGUUGUAAAGUACUUUCAGCGGGGAGGCGUUACCCGCAGAAGAAGCACCGGCUAACUCCGUGCCAGCAGCCGCGGUAAUUC